CCUACGGGAGGCAGCAGUGGGGAAUAUUGGACAAUGGGGGGAACCCUGAUCCAGCCAUGCCGCGUGUGUGAAGAAGGCCCUCGGGUUGUAAAGCACUUUCAGUGAGGAAGAACGCCUGGUGGUUAAUACCCAUCAGGAAAGACAUCACUCACAGAAGAAGCACCGGCUAACUCCGUGCCAGCAGCCGCGGUAAUACGGAGGGUGCGAGCGUUAAUCGGAAUUACUGGGCGUAAAGCGCGCGUAGGUGGCUUGAUAAGCCGGUUGUGAAAGCCCCGGGCUCAACCUGGGAACGGCAUCCGGAACUGUCAAGCUAGAGUGCAGGAGAGGAAGGUAGAAUUCCCGGUGUAGCGGUGAAAUGCGUAGAGAUCGGGAGGAAUACCAGAGGCGAAGGCGGCCUUCUGGACUGACACUGACACUGAGGUGCGAAAGCGUGGGUAGCAAACAGGAUUAGAUACCCGAGUAGUC
rnacentral:rRNA from 1 species